UACGGAGGGUGCAAGCGUUGUCCGGAAUCAUUGGGCGUAAAGAGUUCGUAGGUGGUAUGUUAAGUCUGGUGUUAAAGCCCGAAGCUCAACUUCGGUUCGGCACUGGAUACUGGCAAACUUGAAUGUGGUAGAGGUAAAGGGAAUUCCUGGUGUAGCGGUGAAAUGCGUAGAUAUCAGGAGGAACAUCGGUGGCGAAAGCGCUUUACUGGGCCAUUAUUGACACUGAGGAACGAAAGCCGGGGUAGCAAAU
rnacentral:rRNA from 1 species